AUGAAGAUAGUUCCCAUCCAGCCGGGGCACGGCCCUCGGACAGCAGAGGCCAGGCCAGAAGGAAAAGCAAAAAGGCCCCCGUUGCCAAAACAGGGACAAAGUGGUAACCGUACAUGGACUAUACGCACCGCACACCCCCCAUCCUAUGCCUUAGCUGGUGCUUUCUUCACUGUACAGACGGCGUUCUCCACCUCGGUUCCUGCUGGCAUUAGAAAAGGUCUGGGCACAAGGGACGUGGGAGGAAAAGCCACCAAGAGCGGGGAGCGGGGAGCGGGGAGCGGGGCUUGUCGCCGGCGCACAGGAACACCGUGCUGCAGUUGGCUGUGGAGAAGCCCCAGAGCUUGGUCCCAGGCGCAGGGGCUGCGGAUGUCCGGAGCAGCUGUUGCUGAUGCCCAAAUCCGCCCCCUAGAUCUAGGGUGGAGAGCGGGCGCGCUACUGCAAAAUGACUUUCCCCUCUUAAAACUGAAUGAAUGAGUGGAAUUCAGAAUCUGUCAAAGGGAUAAGGCGAAUGAAUGAAUGAAUGAUAAAUAUGCUCUGCUUCUUGGCUUGAGACGUCCACGGCAGAUGUGCAAAGACACACGAGGGCGAGUGUAAGCUGUGGAAACUGGUGGCCCGUGGAACUGCAAACAGACCCAGCUUCAGCCAGGAGCAGCUGGACCGGGCUGCCCUCCGGGUGCCCUGGUCACACUCCUGCCCUCCCCUCUGGGGCUGCAGUCUGCCUCCCAGGAAGGUGUCAGUGGUGCAGACCUUGCCUCACCUCCCAGGAGACUGCAGAGGCUGGAGGCGGGAUGCUGUGGGAUGGUGGUGAUGCAAGGUGUCCUCAAGCGGCACAGCCGUGCAGCCAGUGCCUUGCCUCUCUGGAGCGCAGCCGGAAGCCAGGCACUCUGGAGAGCUGGCUGUGGAGAGCGAGGCAUUCUAGCAGCAGAGCCUGUCUGACUGUGUGCCCAGGGGCCCUUGCUGGGCAGCAGGGCUUGAGGACCACAUCACCCAGUUUAGCCAUGUGCACAGCUCUGGUACAUGUGGUUGGGGC
rnacentral:lncRNA from 1 species